rnacentral:rRNA from 1 species
GGAGUCUGGGCCGUGUCUCAGUCCCAAUGUGGCCGUUCAUCCUCUCAGACCGGCUAUGUAUCAUCGCCUUGGUGGGCCGUUACCUCACCAACUAGCUAAUACAGCGUAAGCCCAUCCCACAGCGGUGCAAACGCACCUUUAAUAAUAAGGAGAUGCCUCCCUAUUACCUAUGCGGUAUUAAUAGUCGUUUCCAACUGCUAUCCCCCGCUCUGGGGUAGGUUGCCUACGUAUUACUCACCCGUUCGCCACUAGGGUUCUACCGAAGCAAAACCCCCGUUCGACUUGCAUGUGUUAGGCACGCCGCCAGCGUCGUCCUGAGCCACGGAUCAAACUACU